rnacentral:SRP_RNA from 2 species
AUGUAGAAUAGACCGGGGAGCUAGGCGUUCCCUGUAACCAGAAAUCGCCGAUAUGCUGGGGUCGAAGCCAAGAGGCGAUGUAACGGUCAUCUAUUGAUCCAUCUGCUGACGAUGAGACCCUGUCCUUUGGGAUUAGAGGUGAUGGUCACAUAUGAUCGGAGGAUCAUAUGUGCAUCUUUGCUGUGGGAACCGGGUUAGGCACGGAAGUGAGCAGCCUUACCACAGACUACUAAUGCUCAAAGGGUAAACGGGGUUGAGGAUACAGAUGGGUAGUCAAUAGUAUGAUACGUGCAUCCACUCAAGGCGUUUCUGCAU